rnacentral:rRNA from 1 species
ACGCGGAGGACAUUACAGUGACCCCGGUCUAACCACCGGGAUGUUCAUAACCCUUUGUUGUCCGACUCUGUUGCCUCCGGGGCGACCCUGCCUUCGGGCGGGGGCUCCGGGUGGACACUUCAAACUCUUGCGUAACUUUGCAGUCUGAGUAAACUUAAUUAAUAAAUUAAAACUUUUAACAACGGAUCUCUUGGUUCUGGCAUCGAUGAAGAACGCAGCGAAAUGCGAUAAGUAAUGUGAAUUGCAGAAUUCAGUGAAUCAUCGAAUCUUUGAACGCACAUUGCGCCCCCUGGUAUUCCGGGGGGCAUGCCUGUUCGAGCGUCAUUUCACCACUCAAGCCUCGCUUGGUAUUGGGCAACGCGGUCCGCCGCGUGCCUCAAAUCGACCGGCUGGGUCUUCUGUCCCCUAAGCGUUGUGGAAACUAUUCGCUAAAGGGUGUUCGGGAGGCUACGCCGUAAAACAACCCCAUUUCUAAGGUUGACCUCGGAUCAGGUAGGGAUACCCGCUGAACUUAAGCAUAUCAAUAAGGCGGAGGAA